GAUGAACGCUGGCGGCGUGCCUAAUACAUGCAAGUCGAGCGAACGGACGAGAAGCUUGCUUCUCUGAUGUUAGCGGCGGACGGGUGAGUAACACGUGGAUAACCUACCUAUAAGACUGGGAUAACUUCGGGAAACCGGAGCUAAUACCGGAUAAUAUUUUGAACCGCAUGGUUCAAAAGUGAAAGACGGUCUUGCUGUCACUUAUAGAUGGAUCCGCGCUGCAUUAGCUAGUUGGUAAGGUAGCGGCUUACCAAGGCAACGAUGCAUAGCCGACCUGAGAGGGGAAUCGGCCACACUGGAACUGAGAAACGGUCCAGACUCCUACGGGAGGCAGCAGUAGGGAAUCUUCCGCAAUGGGCGAAAGCCUGACGGAGCAACGCCGCGUGAGUGAUGAAGGUCUUCGGAUCGUAAAACUCUGUAUUAGGGAAGAACAUAUGUGUAAGUAACUGUGCACAUCUUGACGGUACCUAAUCAGAAAGCCACGGCUAACUACGUG
rnacentral:rRNA from 1 species